UCACUCCUGGGAGCCCUGAAUAAAACGCCCUGUCCCGAAGGUCCCUGGCCUCUUCCUGGGCCACCCUGGCAGCAAACCCACACUCCCCCUGCACCCCAGCAGGUGACCGAGCCCACCAACCCUGCCUCUGGACAUUUUGGGCUCACCCCCACCCCACCACCUCCGGCCCGCCCUGGUCGGGCGCCGGACAUCAGGCUGCCGGCACCAGCAAGAUCAAGUCUCAGGGACGCACUUGGCCCGCAGGCCUGUGUCAGGACAUCCCCGAAGCCGGCCUGAGUAUGAGCUGACAUCAACCAUCAAGGUCACCGCUGUCACCUCCCCUUCCCUCCGACUCACAUUCCAGGGGAUCGGCUCCGUGCGGCUGGCACCUGCCGGCCACCUGGGGUUGCUCAGUGCAGGUGUUGUGAUUAGCGUGUUUCCAUCCAUUACUACCUUGGAUCAGAAGAAGCCAGAGAGGAGGAAGGGAGACACAGCAUGGGGUCACGCUCGGGGGGCCUCAACUCAGGGGACGUCCCAUCUCACCAUGGUCACCAAAGCCACCGCCAAUUCCCUCACCUCCUCUGUUCAAGCUGUCACGAAUGCCGGGGACACAAUAGUGGUCUGCCAAGACCAGGAACCCAGAGGUGACGACAACGUGGCCCCAGCUCCAGGGACCCAGAAGCGGUGAGCAGCUGACCAGGGCAUGUGUGGCCACACCGUGGAGCGCUACGCGGCAGGAGAAAGGAGCCCCCCACCCCCACCCCCGGGUGAGUCCCCAGACGCUGUGCUGAGUGCCGACACCAGUCCCAAAAGACCGCACACUGAGCACAUUCUCACCAAACACCAGAAUUACGGAGAUGGAGAACAGGUGUGCGGUUGGCAGGGGUUAGGGAUGGUGGGGCGGGGCAGGGGGCCCAGA